CAGCCACAGUGUACUUAUAUAUAAUAAGUAAAUAAGUAAACAAAUAAAUAAAUAAAUCUUUAAAAAAAAUCUCAAAGAAAGAGAACCCAAACCUGAGAACGCGCUAAAAGGUCCCAACUGCACUAAAAACCAUAGUCUGCGUUUGUAUAAAUGGUUGGCUCUUCUGGUUGGCUAUGUAAACAAGUAGCACUCGGUUGUUCAAAUAUUUGUCGUUAUCUCUCCUGCCCCCGCUUAUGACAUAAGACAAAGAACCAUACCGCCCUAUGUCAGACUCCUAGAAGCAGUGACUAGAACGGUGGUUACUGGAGACUGGGGUAGAGUAGCUAGGAACAAAGAAAUGUCAGUCAAAGAGUACAGGGCGAAAUGAGAGGGACAAUCCUUCGUGGGGAAGUGCACAGAACCGUGGCUGUAAUUAGCAGCAUCGACUUUAAGUUUGCUUGAAGACUAGCUCUCGGAACUGGAGAGAUGGCUCAGCAGCUAAGGGUAGGUAGUUCUUGAGCUGGGCUUGGUGCUGUACACUUUUAAUUCCAGCACUGGGGAGGCAGAGGGAGGUGGAUCUCUGUGUGAAUCUGAGGCUGGCCUGAUCUACAUAGUGAGUUCCAGGACAGCCAGGGCUGCCUCCUGAGACCCUGUCUCAUAAAACCAGAAAAAAGAAGGAAAGAGAAAAAGAAAGAGGGCCUGUUGUUCUUCCAGAGACCGGAGUUUGAGUCCCAGCACAAACAUGGUGGCUCGGAACCAUCUGUAAUUCCAGUUCCAGAGGGUCCGACACCCACUUCUUCAUGAGCAGCAAGCGUGUAGUCUGCACUGAGUUACAGGUAAGCAAAACACCCAUACGCAUACAUACAAUCUAAAGAGGGCUAGCCUUCAAAUAUUCUCCCACAAAAGGUAAGUAGGUGAGAUGGUGAUGGGCACAUUAAUUACCAUGAUCUAAUCAUUACGACAGGCCACCACACAGUUAAACAUCCUACCUCAUAUGAUGGUCCAGUGGUUACUCCCAGCUCUCCGUGAGCCUGUUACAGCAUCCACGGAAUCCUUUUCCUCCACACGACGUCUACAAAGCUGUUGGUAUACCAUUGUGCCCACCUAGGGUUCUUUUAAACGUGCGCAGCUGCUGCUGUUAGGGUUAGCUUUAUUAGUCUGCCAUCACUCACGGGUUUCAACAAAACCUGACAUCAAGCUGUCAGAGUUCUUAUUUUUACUUUUUUCCUGACACAGGGUCUUAUUCCAUAUCCCAGGAUAGCUUAGAACUCAUCACGUAGCUCAGGAGAACUAAGAGUAGUUCUCCUGCCUCUGCCUUAUGGGUCCUGGGAUCGUAAGCCAUGAGUACCACCCACUGACAUUUGUCUCAGUGAGGCACCUUUCUGAGACUCCUACAACAUCUGGAAACUCAUCCACAGGUUUCAUCCCAGUCCCUAUAGUAUUUUCCACUAUAGAUAACAUUCCGUUUGGCCUCCAACCAACAGAAGUGUUGUUCUCAGGUAAAUGCCAGUCAUCGGGCUGCCUCCCACUCCACCGCCCAACAUUGUUUCCAACGAAAUUGGAAAUAAGGGGUUUCAGGAGCCCGUGGUGGAAAUUCAGAUUCAGUAGGUGUUGCUGCUUCCCAACCAGGCUGACGUAAUGAGCGCUCUCCGAGAAUGCUGGCCGGCUCCUGCUCAUCAAUCCGUUCUUUCCUCAUUGCUGCAUGGAACUGAGAAUCCAUCACCAACUACAGAUGAAACGCCAAAGAGGAACCGUGGAAGAGGCGGACAGCGUUCCCGUUUGUUUCUAGCACGGUUUCUAUUCUCCCCAGCAUCUCCGAACUCCUAAUCGUUGCCGUCUGGGAUGUGAGUAGACUGAGUUUUCCCAGUGCCUUCCCAUCUACCUGUCCUUUUUGUUUGUUGUUGUUGUUGAAAAUUUUACUGAGACAAUUGCAGUUUUGCAAUGGCUUCUAAGAAGGGAUGUGGAAUGUUCUCCUGUGCUCUUCACCCAUUUUUCUCCGGCGGUUUCCAGAACCAUGUUUGAAUGCUGACACCGGUACAAUCUAUUCAUCUCACUCAGUUUCCACACACAGAGAUGCAGACCAACCGACAGACAGACACAUAUAAGACAGGGUCUCCCAAUGUAGCCCUGGCUGCCCUGAGACUCAAUAUGUACACCAAGCUAGUCUCAGACUCAAGAAAGACCUCCCGGCUUUAUCCCCUGAGUGCUAGGAUUAAGAGUGUGAAUGACCAGGGCUGGGGAUUUAGCUCAGUGGUAGAGCGCUUACCUAGGAAGCGCAAGGCCCUGGGUUCGGUCCCCAGCUCCGAAAAAAAAGAACCAAAAAAAAAAAAAAAAAAAAAGAGUGUGAAUGACCAUGCCCAGCCAGGCCCCAUCACACUGUCCAACUAUGCCCCCAGUCAGAGACAACAGCCCGACUCUACAAGGACCACUCUGGGGACAGCAGUAUAGACCUGUAAUCCAAGACAUAGAGGUGGGAGGAUAAGGGCAGCCUGGGCUAUAUAGCAGGAUCUUAUCUAAAUAAAACAGGAAAAAAAUGGAAUAGAACAUAACAGAUCAGCAUGAAACCAAAAACCAAAGGAUUAACCUGGUUUAUUCUUCUGUGUUUGGUUUUGACAUCCAUUGCCAUUAGCGGGGGUGGGGAGGGUUGGGUGUGAGUUGAGAGGCUACACUUCUGCUCAACUCUUUGUUGAUCUUUUGAACAAUUCCUCACACAGCAAAUUCUACUUUUCAAAUAUACUAUUAUUUUUUUCCUAGACUAAAAUAAUGCUUCCGUAUUCUUAAGUUUCUCUAUUUUAGACUCUCAUUUCUUUGCAAUAUAGCUUAAUAAAUAGGUGGAGAGAUUUUACUUUGUCUUCCACUUUGUAACAGAGAUAGUUUUCUCUCAAUUACAGGUGUUUAUAGGACAUAUUUCCUUUGAGUAUUGAACACGGUAGCAUGUUCAGCUAUUUGAAUGGAUUAAAACACUAUUUUUUGGCGCAGACUAGCUGAUGAACGAGAUCGCAUUCUGUCCAACUCUGGGGGACAAAGUGGCUACUUACUGCAUGUGGUGGCCAAGAGCUGACUUUGUUAGAGGGCAGACAGUGAAUGCAGGCUUUAUAGAUCAGCCCAUGUCUGCCUCACCGUUUCAGCUCUGCUAAGGGCAGUCAGUAGUAGCCACGAUCCAGUGAUGGGGUGGAUUGUGUCGAAAGCACUUUAUACAAACGGGCGUUUAGCUGUAGUUUGCAAAACCUUGGUCCGAGCCAAUCGUGGUAAGACCAUUUCCUUGAAUGGGUAUAUGCCCAGUCCCAGGGGAUGCCAUAUGAUACAAUCCCAGUGGAUGUCAUGUGACCCAAUUCCAGAGGAUGACAUAUGACCCAAUUCCAGUGGAUACUGUGUAACCUAACCCUGGAGAUGGCAUGUGACCCAACCCAGUGGAUAGCAUGUGACUUAGUCCCAGUGGAUGCCAUGUGACCCAAUUCCAGAGGAUGACAUAUGACCCAAUUCCAGUGGAUACUGUGUAACUUAAUCCUGGGAAUGGCAUGUGACCCAAUCCCAGUGGAUGGUGUGUGACCUAAUCCUGGUAUAAGGCAUGUAGGCCAAGUCUCAGGGAGGGCUCCCAAGAAACAGCAUCUCUUUAUGGCGGACACAAGGGAUAACCCUUCUCUCUUCCUCUGGAUGUUAUCAGUUCUGGGAGUGAUAGCUGGAACCUACAAAUGGAGCCAUCAAACACAGGAGAGCAGAGCCUUGAGAGAACCAUAGAGAGGUCAGGAGCACACGCCUGGAGCCUGUUCCACUACUUGGGUAAAGGCAACAAACAAUUGUUCCUUAAAGCAAUGAAUUAGCCAAAGGUUGUCUAAAUUACUGCACCAGUGGCCCUACUUUAACGAGUACUAAUGCAUCCCAGCCACCUGAACCACAAACUCCACACCGGCAAAUUAGAAUUCUCCCCACUGUAAACAAGUCAGUGCCUCUUAAAAUUUUCCUUCCCCCUCCUUUUGCUCAAAAAAGAAAAAAAAUUAAAUAAGAAAUACCAGUGAGAGGAAAUUAAUAGCAAACCUAUAUUUAUUUAAUAUGAAUAGAAAGCAAGAUUGAUAAUUUUUCAUUUCCCCCUAAAUUAAUGUGUUUUUGCCUCCUCCACUCCCUGCAGCUUUGCUCCUCGGGCUUGGAGCCUCCCCUUGGCUGCCCUGGAAAUGCUUGCUGCAUGCAAAUGCGUGUAGCCUCAUCAGUCUUAUUAGGCGCAGUUCCAACUGGCCACCCUACAUGAACACAAUUAAAAGUUAAACAUCAAUUAAAAUUCACGGAAUCCAUUUAGCCUUCUGAAAAAAGCGCUAAAUAACUGAACACAUUUGGGGCACAAAUUAAUCUCCAUCGUUUUCUCUAGCUCUCUUCAGUCAUCAAAUAUCCUGGGUCUGGUUUAGACUUUUAAUUCAUUCCAUCCCUACUGAGGAGGUGCCGCGUAAGCAAGGGUAAACAUGAAGGGCCACGCGGCUCAAGUGUAGCUGGCCCACGCCGCGGUCUGUCAGCGAUGGGGGCCCCUGAGUGCUGCGAUUGCUGUGGUUUGAUAUGAAAUGUCCGCCACAGGGUUACACAUUGCUUUUCAACCGGCAGUGACAUUUUAUGAGGCUCUAGGGAGUUGAAAAGGUGGAGAUCCUUGUUGGAAGAAGUUGGUCUCUGAAUGUUAUGCCCGGUCCUGGUGCUUUCCUCGUUCCCCAGCUUCUUAUCUGCACGAGGCAAGCAGCGCCUCGCUCUACGCUCUCCCUCCUCCAUGAUGUUCAGCCUCACUUGAGACCCGGAUAAUGGAGCCGGCCAUCCACAGGCCGAGAACUCUGAAACGCUGACACAGAAUAAAUAAUUCCGCUCUGAAAGCUGCUCUCAGGGUGGUCUGGCCAUGGCUAAGCAAGGCAAAUGACUACAGAGAGAGGGGUGAACACUGCCCCGGGAGGGGAGAUCUGUGGAACAUCCCUUUCUCCAGACCUGUGUGGGCACGCUCAUCUGCUUCCGGGGUCAGUAGGCAUCUCAAGUGCUGCUAAUACAUUCCUGACGGAAAAUACAAUUUUCCUCCCAGAUCUUUUUAUUUCCCAGUCUUCUACUUACCCAGGCGCCCUCAAUUCCACUCUAGGGCAUCGGGCAUCUCUCUGGUUGCUUGUUUGUUUGUCUUUCUGUUUUGUUUUGUUUUGUUUUCUGUAUCCUCACAGCAACCCACCAAUAGUUUUGUCUUUUACAAACUAUUGUAAACUUUUACAAACAUGAUUUCCUUACUCCUCUGCUUAAGACCUUUGACUAGGGGUUGGGGAUUUAGCUCAGCGGAAGAGCACUUGCCUAGCGAGCUCAAGGCCCUGGGUUCGGUCCCCAGCUCCGAAAAAAAGAAAAAAGAAAAAAAAGACCUUUGACUAAAUUCAGAUUACCCAAGAUACAAUCCACAGACCACAUGAAGCUCAAGAAGAGGGAAGACCAAAUGUGGAUGCUCAGGCCUUCUUAGAAGGGGGAACAGAAAUAUUCAUAGGAGAAGAUAUAGAGACAAAGUUUGGAGCAGACACUGAGGGAAAGGCCAUUCAGAGCCUGCCCCACAAGGGUAUAUAGCCCAUAUACAGCCACCAAACCCAGUCACUAUUGCUGAUGCCAAGAAGCACAUGCUGACAGGAGCCUGAUAUAGCUGUCUCCUGAAAGACUCUGCCAGAGCAUGACAAAUACAGAGGCGAAUGCUCGCAGCAAACCAUUGGAUUGAGAACAGGGUCCCAGUGGAGGAGUUAGAGAAAGAUUGAAGGAGCUGAAGGGGUCUGCAAUCCCGUAAGAACAACAAUAUCAACCAACCAGAGCUCCCAGGGACUAAACCACCAUCCAAAGACUACACAUGGACAGACCCAUGGCUCCAGCUGCAUAUGUAGCAGAGGAUGGCCUUGUUGGGCACCAAUGGGAGAAGCCCUUGGUCUUGCCAAGGCUGGACCCCCCCCCCCCCGCCCAGUGUAGGGGAAUGUCAGGGCAGGGAGGCGGGAGGGGGUGUGUGGUUGGGCGGGGGAACACACUCAUAGAAGAAGGGGGAGGGGUGGGAUAGGGGAUUUAUGGAUGGAAAACCGGGAAAGGGAAUAACACUUGAAAUGUAAAUUUAAAAAAAUCCAAUAAAAAAAAAAGAAACAGAAGGUCAGCCUAUAAAAUAGAACAGAAUGUGGUGUCCGGAACUAACCCCCAAUAUGUUUUAGGUAUCUUUUUAUUAAAACAGCGUUUGAAAUCAGUGGUUAAAAAAAAUGACAGGGGCUGGGGAUUUAGCUCAGUGGUAGAGCGCUUACCUAGCGAGCGCAAGGCCCUGGGUUCGGUCCCCAGCUCCGAAAAAAAGAACCAAAAAAAAAAAAAAAUGACUAGCUUCCCACUGCAUUUUAAAAAAACGCGUGCACAUGUGUGUGUGUGUGUGUGUGUGUGUGUGUUUUCUGCUGGUCGUAGGUAAUCCCUGUGAAAGGGUUGUUCAAUUCCCAAAGGGGUUGUGACCCACAGGUUGAGAACCACUGUUACUCCUUUGGCCUCUGAAGGCUGUCUGCAUUUUUGAACUCAUGGCUACUCCUCACCUCUUACUCUGGUCCUUUUAUAGGCCACCUGGGGGUGACAGUGGCCUCGCCUGGAUCACUUCUGUACUUCAGCUCACACAUCAGACAGAUUCUUUCACUGAGUAAGGUAACAUCCUCACAGGGCAUGGGGACAUGGAGUGGGUUGGGGGGUUCCCAGGCAAUCGCACAACCACAGUAACCCCCCCCACACACACACACAAAAAAACAAAGUACUUCCUUACUGGGACUUAACUAGCAUAUGCAAGGCCAGUUCAGCCCACACUGACCUCCUCCUGCUAUAGUAAUGGUUCUUAAUCUCUCAACGUGUGAGUCAGGACCCCUUUGGGAAUCAGAUGACCCUUUCAGAGGGGUCACUAAGACCAUCAGGAAACACAGAUAUUUACAUAGCAAUUCAUAACAAUAGCAGAAUUACAGCUAUGAAGUGGCAAUGAAAAUAAUUGUGUGGUUGGGGUCACCACAACAUGAGGAACUGUACUGAAGGUCGCAGCACUAGAAGGUUGCGAGCCAUUGAGAAGCGGCCUCUGUCUGUUUCCGUGGGCCCCGGACUACCUGCACCUCCUGGUCUCCAUUCACAGUUCUUGGAACGGCUUUUGUGGAGUGGCUCACACGGCUGAUCCAUGUCUUCGUGUAACAAGGUCCUACUCUCAGUGUUAGUGUCGCCUGAGGCUGUCCCCAUUGCUGCAGGGAUGAAUAGCUGCAUCUGAGACUGCAUGUCCGCACAGCACAAAGCACGGAUGUCUCGCCUAUUGCUACGGUUUGGAUAAGCGUCUCCUCAAGGCCUGUGUGUUAAAGGUUUGGCUCCAGCCCCUGGCACUGUUAGGAGGUAGAGAAUUCUUUAAGAAGUAGAAUCCAGGGACUGGAGAGCUGGCUCAGCGGCUAAGAGCACUGACUGCUCUUCCAGAGGUCCUGAGUUCAAUUCCCAGCAACCACAUGGUGGCUCACAAUUAUCUGUAAUGAGAUCAGAUGCCCUCUUCUGGUGUGUCUGAAGACAGCUACAGUGUACUUAUAUAAAUAAAAAUUAAUAAAUUUUUUAAAAAACUGAAUAUGUUUUAAAAAAGAAGUAGAAUCCAAGCUAGAACUAUUUUUGGCCAUAUAAGCCACCGCCUUGAGAGGAAUGCUGGGACCCUGUCCCAAACUCUUCUUUUUUGCUCCUUAGAUCCCUGGAAGGGAGCAGCUAAUUGACCCGGGCAUCUCUGUUAUGAUAAUCAUUUUGUAUUACCAAAUCUAGCAAGCCUGACCAGCGGUGGGCUGAAACUUAUAAAGCCAUGAGUUGUAGACAUCUUUUUAUGUUGAACACCUCAGGUGCUUUUGUGAGCGUAGUGGGAAAUGAACACACACACUCUAGGAAAAGUUCACUGAUCCUUGACAAAGAAACCUGCCUCUAUCUUCACUGUCUUAGUUACAGUUUCCAUUGCUGAAAAGAGACAUCGUGAGCAAGGGAACUCUUAUAACGGACAUUUAAUUGAGGCUGGUUCAUGGUUCAGUCCAUUGUCAUCAUGGCAGAAAGCAUGGCAGCCUGCAGGCAGACCUGGUGCUGGAGGAGAGGCUGGGAGUUCUACAUCUCGACCCAAAGGCUGACAGGAGAAGACUGGCUCUCGUGUGGCCAGGAGGAAGGUCUCAAAGUGAAUGAGGACUCUUCACUUCCUCCGACAAUGCCACACUCCUAACAGUAUCACUUCCUAUGGCCAAGCAUAUUCAAACCACCACAUCUACCAUAGCUAUCCUACAGUUCCAAAGGGCUGGAGUCGAGAUGAGAAGCAGGUGUGAGUGGGCUCUAAUCACAUUCCUAACGAGUCAUUUAGAUCAUUUAUCAGAAACACAGAAGUUAAAAUCUUACCCAGUACACCAUGUAGGAAGGGAGAGCUUCUCAUGCCCUUUCAGGGAGAACACCAAAUGAAUUUAAAGAAAGUUAGAGGAAGAAAGAAGAGAGAAGGAGGAGGGGAGAGAAAAGGGGGGAAAGGAGAAGGAAAGAGGAGGGAGGAGGAGGAAAAAGGAAGAGAAGGAGAAGGAGAAGAGGAAGAAGAGGAAGAAGGAGGAGGAGGAGGAGGAAGAGGGGGAGGAGGAGGAGGAGGAGAAGGAGGAGGAGUAGGAGGAGGAGAUUAAUUAAAGGUAAGUUACCACUCACAUUUAAUGGCUCUUGUGCGGGUUUUCAUGAGUUAGCAUCACUAAGAAUUGUCAGCAAUGAAACAGAAGUAUCAAGUCAUAGGAAGGAGAUGGGGAGGGGCUGGGUGUAGAGAAAAGGGCCAGGAGCAGGCCAGCAACCCAUCUGGGAAAGACAAGCAGGCAGUCAAAGCUCCAUAUGAAUAUGGCGUUCAGUGGCCAGUGCAAGUCUCCUAGGGGCACAGCAGGCAUUCCUGACAGGAAGUAGCAUUCCCUGGAGUAGGACCAGUGGUGCCACCGCACCAUGCUCUUUCCCUUUUCCAGGUGGAAGCAAAGACAGCCUAUGACAGAUGGGCCUCGUUUUACAAGGUGAAGUAUGUGUCCUCUUGGUCAGCAAGUGCAACACUGUUGGUGUCCAUUGGUAAAAUUGAUACUAUGUCUCAGUAAUAAUGCCAUCUGGAGGCAACUUUGAAAAGCCAACUUUUUGCUAAUUAACCCAGUUCUAAAGCCUGAUUCUUCGAGCUCUGCCCAGCCUCCUCCGCCCCCCUUUAAUGGAAACCACCUUUCCACAGGCAGAUUUAUUUCCCCUCUAAUUAAAAGCAUUCAGGACCACAGAAGUGGAGGCAGGGGGACACUAGAGCUGUGGAUCUGCAGGGCUUGUUGAGACUGACAGACAGAGGUCAAGGUUGAGUCUCUUGAGGUUACCAUAGAAAACCCGAGGGCCUUGUUCUCCAUAUGCCAGCCAUCCUUUAAUAAUUCUUCAUACAACAUUUCAAAGGCUAUGGGACUACUGGGCUGCUGUGGCUGUCUAUGUCUCGUGGAGUUUUGUUCCUGUCAUUGCUGUAUGAGCCCCUCAUGAACACUUUGGAUCCUUUCCCCAGAACCAUACAUGUGGAGACACAUCCCAAGAAAUGGGUCUCCUGGAUUCCUACUGCAAGGCCGGGGAUCCCAAGUAAGGGAUAUUACUGGUGCACGGAUAAACCUUGAAGGGGCUCUAAAAUGGGUAAGGAGCACACAAGUAGCUUUUCCCCUUCUUCCACAUUCACUAGUAUGCUUCUAGUCAGAUGGCCUGUGUAGUAUGCCUUCCCUCUGUAGAUGAUUCACUGAACAGUUUUUUUCUCAAGAGAGGAGAGAGAGAGAGAGAGAGAGAGAGAGAGAGAGA